rnacentral:misc_RNA from 1 species
UGCAUGCCAAGCACCAGCCGCGACCACAACUGGCUGGAGAUUCAGAAGCUGAAAUUGUUCAAUAAGUCGUGGCUGUUUCUCAUCGGUCCUUGAACCAUGACCGAGCUUCCCACCCAGUCCACACCCAACUGAGUAUACUGACAUGCCACUAGGAUGACAAGCAAGAGCAAGAAGGUAGCAAUAUCCAGCAGCAAUUUGAACAACUGGAAUGUUUUCUAAUGCUCCCAUCAGGGGCCGUGGUUCCAAGUCAUUUGGUUCGGUAUGAUGACCGAGCCUACCGUCAGUCCCCCAAGAAAAUGUGUACACCCUACCUUCUCUUGAUAAUACAGCAGUG